rnacentral:rRNA from 1 species
GACGAACGCUGGCGGCGUGCUUAACACAUGCAAGUCGAACGGAAAGGCCCUGCUUUUGUGGGGUGCUCGAGUGGCAAACGGGUGAGUAACACGUGAGUAACCUGCCCUUGACUUUGGGAUAACUUCAGGAAACUGGGGCUAAUACCGGAUAGGAGCUCCUGCUGCAUGGUGGGGGUUGGAAAGUUUCGGCGGUUGGGGAUGGACUCGCGGCUUAUCAGCUUGUUGGUGGGGUAGUGGCUUACCAAGGCUUUGACGGGUAGCCGGCCUGAGAGGGUGACCGGCCACAUUGGGACUGAGAUAGGGCCCAGACUCCUACGGGAGGCAGCAGUGGGGAAUAUUGUACAAUGGGCGGAAGCCUGAUGCAGCAACGCCGCGUGCGGGAUGACGGCCUUCGGGUUGUAAACCGCUUUCGGCUGUGACGAAGCGUGAGUGACGGUAAUGGGUAAAGAAGCACCGGCUAACUACGUG